rnacentral:rRNA from 1 species
AUUGAACGCUGGCGGCAUGCCUAACACAUGCAAGUCGAACGAGUGGCGGACUGGUGAGUAAUGCUUUGGAAUCUGGCUUAUGGAGGGGGAUAACUACGGGAAACCGUAGCUACUACCGCUUACCAUCGGAUGGGCCCAAGUGGGAUUAGGUAGUUGGUGAGGUAAAGGCUCACAAAGCCGACGAUCCCUAGCUGGUCUGAGAGGAUGACCAGCCACACUGGGACUGAGACACGGCCCAGACUCCUACGGGAGGCAGCAGUGGGGAAUAUUGCGCAAUGGGGGCAAGCCUGACGGAGCAAUGCCGCGUGAAUGAAGAAGGCCUUCGGGUUGUAAAGUUCUUUCGGUAGAGAGGCGUUAUCUAAAGAAGAAGCACCGGCUAACUCCGUGCCAGCAGCCGCGGUAAUAC